CGUUGGUGAGAAUCCAAUGUCUCGAAAACCCAAGGGUUCCUCCGCAAGGUUUGUCCACGGAGGGUGAGUCAGGGCCUAAGAUCAGGCCGAAAGGCGUAGUCGAUGGACAACAGGUGAAUAUUCCUGUACUACCCUUUGUUGGUCCCGAGGGACGGAGGAGGCUAGGUUAGCCGAAAGAUGGUUAUCGGUUCAAGGACGCAUGGUGCCCCUGCUUUUUCAGGGUAAGAAGGGGUAGAGAAAAUGCCUCGAGCCAAAGUUCGAGUACCAGGCGCUAAUAUUAUGAAUUUGUAAUACAAAAUACAACUUUCUGAAAUUAUUGAGCUACUUUUGGAU
rnacentral:ncRNA from 1 species